UUCGGAGGAUCCAAGCGUUAUCCGGAUUUAUUGGGUUUCAAGGGUGCGUAGGCGGCCAGUUAAGUCAGGGGUGAAAGACGGUAGCUCAACUAUCGCAGUGCCUUUGAUACUGAUUGGCUUGAAUGUACUUGAGGUAGGCGGAAUGUGACAAGUAGCGGUGAAAUGCAUAGAUAGGUCACAGAACAACAAUUGCGAAGGCAGCUUACUAAAGUAUGAUUGACGCUGAGGCACGAAAGCGUGGGGAUCAAACAGG
rnacentral:rRNA from 1 species